rnacentral:lncRNA from 1 species
CGGGAGAAAAGUAACUAAGACAACAUGAUUACUCAACAAAGAAGCCAUGACUUUACCUAUCUCAGCAUAGACACAGUGUUGUAUAAUUCCAUCAUGAAUGCCUGCCACAUCCUUUGGUCUGCCUGGAACUGCCUGGAAUCGAGAGCUCUACAUUUGUCUCAGGGAAUAUGCGAGUCUGCUUCUACUAUCCUUUCAGCAGUUGAAUGAUGAUCAUGUGCCUGCCAUGUGCCAGGACCAUCUGGACUGGAAGAAGGUGUAUGGAAAAGGUGACAAUCAGGAUAUCAGAUAAUCCAACGCUGGAUGGGAGUAUAAACUGGAUGCAUGACCAAAGAACAGAGUAUCCUCGAGGUACAGGCAAUUUGGUGGAGGGUGGGGUGGCAGAGUAAGAACCACAGGCAGCCACAACAAUGUGAGAGUGCCUGGCUGGGUGUCACAGCGCUUCCUCCUGCCUGGACAGUGUGCUUCCUGAGGGUACAAGCCAUACCUACAACAACUUCAUUUUCAUAAUCCAGCACAGCACCUGAAGUUGCCACUCAGUGGAAGCCAUGCUAAUGGCUUCUACAUUUCGAUGAAAAAGAGAAAACUUCAGAUUUUAGGACACCAGAAGACUGAAUAUGAGGGUCUCCA